GAUGAACGCUAGCGGCAGGCUUAAUACAUGCAAGUCGUGGGGCAGCAGGACUGUAGCACUACAGUUGCUGGCGACCGGCAAACGGGUGCGGAACACGUACGCAACUUACCCUGAACUGGGGGAUAGCCCGGGGAAACCCGGAUUAAUACCCCGUAAUAUAAUGGAGUGGCAUCACUUUAUUAUUAAAGCUCCGGCGGUUCGGGAUGGGCGUGCGGCUGAUUAGGUAGUUGGUUGAGGUAACGGCUCACCAAGCCUACGAUCAGUAACUGGUGUGAGAGCAGGCACCGUCCACCGGGCCCUGGGACCCGGGCCCGCUCCCUCGGGGGGGAACCAGUAAGGAAUUUUGGGAAAGGGGGGCAACCCUGACCCCGCCAUGCCGGGGGGGGGAUGAAGGCCCUUGGGGUUUUAAACUUCUUUUAUAGGGGACGAAACCUGUGUAUUCUUACGCAGUUGACGGUACCCUAGGAAUAAGCCCCGGCUACCUCCGU
rnacentral:rRNA from 1 species